CGCCGGAGCUGAGGGUGAGGCCUGGGCGCGAGGGCCGUGCUUGUCAGAGCUGGACUGUGUGCAGCUGCACCCGCAACGCCGCUGUCCACGCUUGGCCUACGUGGCCGCCAGGUGGGCCCAGAGCCGUGCACACACGCCCGCGUCUGCAGACGGAAGAGGCUGGCGGGCAGGUGGUUACCAGUGCCUGCACAUGUGCCCCCGUGGAGGCCGAGGGCAGCCAUUGCUUUCCUGACAAGGACCCCUGCCUGCCUCUUCCGUGCCCUGUGUGCUGUCCACACCCCUGCCUCCUGCAGGCCUCGAUGCUCCACAGAGGCGGCCCGUGCAGAGCCAGGAGGAAGCAGGCCCAGACUGCUGCUGUGGAGAAGGCCAUCCUCCCGGAGGAGGCCUGGCCUGGAACGGGGAGUCCUUCCGAAGACCUGCCCUCCUGACCUGCUGCUGGCCCACAGCCCACCGGCACGGGGGAGGAGGCCUGGCCUGGAGAUGGGAGACCCGUCCUGCGGAAGAAGGCGGUGCUCCUCCUGAAGCUCAGCCGCACGCGGAAGGAGGAAGCCACGGUCCAGGUAAAGGUCAGGAAUUGCUACCUUUCUUUUAAUUUUUUUACUGUUCCACUUCAUUCCUGCUGUGUGUGCGCUCCACGUGAGUGACGUAGGCGCCUAUGCAGUUGGGUUCCCACUUGCAGCGACAAUCGUUUGCGUCGUGCGGUAGGAGCGGACCUCCGACGUGGCCCGAGGACCUGUGUACUGCAUCUGUCCCCUGUCACGGCCCCUGAGCUUAGUCGCUUUAACCGUGUGUGAGGCCGUGUGCAGAGCACGUCUGGGGCGGAGCACAGGGUUCUGUGGGAAUGGCCGCCACAAGCUGAGACGAUGCCCGUCCAUGUGGCAGGACCAGCUCUCGGGCUUCUCACAUCGCUGAGUGGCAUUGUCAUGUUUCAUUGUCCCGAUGUUUUUACGUUCAUGCGUGCUCUUCUCUGGGACAGACCAAGUAGGUCAGACGUUGAUGCUGAAAACGGAAGGUGAGCCGAGCUUGUUCCAGGCACAGCCAUGGACACGUCACAGCCAAUCUUCUCCUCCAGCCCCGAGGGGCACUGCUUCUGCGUCCUGCUCCCUGGAGGUCAAACAGUGUCAGCUCCUGGAGAAGGCUCCCUUUCCUGGCUCAGAACCCGGCUCUGCAGCCCAGCUCCAGGACGCCGCCUUGGCGUGAUGGAAGAGAAGGAGCCCAGCGUGGCCUGUGGAAGCCGGGACGGCC